rnacentral:rRNA from 1 species
AGAGUUUGAUCAUGGCUCAGGAUGGACGCUAGCUACAGGCUUAACACAUGCAAGUCGAGGGGAAACGACAUCGAAAGCUUGCUUUUGAUGGGCGUCGACCGGCGCACGGGUGAGUAACGCGUAUCCAACCUGCCCAUCACUUGGGGAUAACCUUGCGAAAGUAAGACUAAUACCCAAUGAUAUCUCUAGAAGACAUCUGAAAGAGAUUAAAGAUUUAUCGGUGAUGGAUGGGGAUGCGUCUGAUUAGCUUGUUGGCGGGGUAACGGCCCACCAAGGGCUACGAUCAGUAGGGGUUCUGAGAGGAAGGUCCCCCACACUUGGAACUGAGACACGGUCCAAACGUCCUACGGGAGGCA